rnacentral:rRNA from 1 species
GAUGAACGCUGGCGGCGUGCCUAAUACAUGCAAGUCGAGCGAAGCGGGGACGGGUGAGUAACACGUGGAUAACCUCCUAUAAGACUGGGAUAACUUCGGGAAACCGGAGCUAAACCGGAUACUUAUAGUUGGAUCCCCGUUGCCUUGGCUAGUUGGUAAGGUAACGGCCUACCAAGGCACGACUGCAUAGCCGACCUGAGAGGGUGCCCGGCAACCCUGGAACUGGUACACGGUCCAGACUCCUACGGGGGGCGCCAGUGGGGAAUCUUCGGCAAUGGGCGAAAGCCUGACGAAGCACCGCCGCGUGGGUGAUGAAGGUCUUCGGUUCGUAAAACUCUGUUAUUAGGGAAGCGGUACCUAAUCAGAAAGCCACGGCUAACUACGUGCCAGCAGCCGCGGUAAUUC